GUUCCGAUUUUGGGGCAAAAAGUGCAGAUUUGGGGAUUUGGGGGGCGGAUUUGGGGGUAAAAAGGGCCAUUUUGGGGCAAAAAGUGCAGAUUUGGGGAUUUUGGGGUAAAAAUGGCGAUUUUGGGGCAAAAGGUUCUGAUUUUGGGGCAAAAAGUGCAGAUUUGGGGAUUUUGGGGGCGGAAUUUGGGGUAAAAUGGGCCAUUUGGGGGCAAAAAGUGCCGAUUUGGGGCCCAAAAUGGCGAUUUUGGGGCCAAAAAGUGCAGAUUUGGGGAUUUUGGGGGCGGAGUUUGGGGUAAAAAGGGCCGUUUUGGGGCAAAAAGUGCAAAUUUUGGGGCAAAAAAUGCGGAUUUGGGGCCAAAAAUGGCGAUUUUGGGGGCAAAAAGUGCAGAUUUGGGGAUUUGGGGGGCGGAGUUUGGGGUAAAAAGGGCCAUUUUGGGGGAAAAAGUGCAAAUUUUGGGGCAAAAAAUGCGGAUUUGGGGCCAAAAAUGGCGAUUUUGGGGGCAAAAAGUGCAGAUUUGGGGAUUUUGGGGGCGGAUUUUGGGGUAAAAAGGGCCGUUUUGGGGGAAAAGGUUCCAAUUUUGGGGCCAAAAAGUGCAGAUUUGGGGAUUUGGGGGGCGGAGUUUGGGGUAAAAAUGGCGAUUUUGGGGCAAAAAGUGCAGAUUUGGGUAUUUGGGGGGCGGAUUUGGAGUCAAACGAUUCCAAUUUUGGGGCAAAAAGUGCAGAUUUGGGGAUUUGGGGGGCGGAUUUUGGGGUAAAAAUGGCGAUUUUGGGGCCAAAAAGUGCAGAUUUGGGGGCAAAAAAGUGCUGAUUUGGGGGAUUUUGGGGCAAAAAUGGCGAUUUUGGGGCAAAAGGUUCCGAUUUUGGGGCCAAAAAGUGCAGAUUUGGGGAUUUUGGGGGCGGAUUUUGGGACGAAAAAGGGCCGUUUUGGGACAAAAAGUGCAGAUUUGGGGGGUUUUGGGGGCGGAUUUUGGGUCAAACGGUUCCAAUUUUGGGGCCAAAAAGUGCAGAUUUGGGGAUUUGGGGGCGGAUUUUGGGGUAAAAAUGGCGAUUUGGGGCCAAAAAGUUCCGAUUUUGGGAUUUUGGGGAGAGAUUUUGGGGCAAAAGGUUCCGAUUUGGGGGCAAAAAGUGCAGAUUUGGGGAUUUGGGGGGCGGAUUUUGGGGUAAAAAGGGCCAUUUUGGGGCCAAAAGUGCCGAUUUGGGGGGUUUUGGGGUAAAAAUGGCGAUUUUGGGGCAAAAGGUUCCGAUUUUGGGGGCAAAAAGUGCAGAUUUGCGGAUUUUGGGGGCGGAUUUUGGGGGCAAAAAGGGCCAUUUUGGGGAUUUUGGGGACAGAUUUGGGGGCAAAAAUGGCGAUUUUGGGGCAAAAGGUUCCGAUUUUGGGGCCAAAAAGUGCAGAUUUGGGGAUUUUGGGGGCGGAUUUUGGGGUAAAAAUGGCGAUUUUGGGGCAAAAAGUGCAGAUUUGGGGAUUUUGGGGGCGGAUUUUGGGCUAAAAAGGGCCAUUUGGGGGCAAAAAGUGCCGAUUUGGGGGUUUUGGGGAGAGAUUUUGGGGCAAAAAGUUCCAAUUUGGGGAUUUUGGGGACAGUUUUGGGGGGAAAAAUGGCGAUUUUGGGGGUUUUGGGGAGAGAUUUUAGGGGCAAAAAUGGCGAUUUUGGUGGCAAAAAGUGCAGAUUUGGGGAUUUUGGGGGCGGAAUUUGGGGUAAAAAGGGCCAUUUUGGGGCAAAAAGUGCCGAUUUGGGGUUUUGGGGAGAGAUUUUGGGGCAAAAAGUUCCAAUUUGGGGAUUUUGGGGACAGUUUUGGGGGGGGAAAUGGCGAUUUUGGGGCAAAAGGUUCCGAUUUUGGGGGGGGGAAAUGCGGAUUUGGGGCCAAAAAUGGCGAUUUUGGGGGUUUUGGGGAGAGAUUUUGGGUGGAAAAAUGGCGAUUUUGGGGGCAAAAAGUGCAAAUUUGGGGAUUUUGGGGGCGGAUUUUUGGGGUAAAAAGGGCCAUUUUGGGGCCAAAAAGUGCCGAUUUGGGGGGUUUGGGGGUAAAAAUGGCGAUUUUGGGGCAAAAGGUUCCGAUUUUGGGGGCAAAAAUGGUGAUUUUGGGACAAAAGGUUCCGAUUUUGGGGCAAAAAGUGCAGAUUUGGGGAUUUUGGGGGCGGAUUUUGGGGUCAAAAGGGCCAUUUUGGGGGCAAAAAGUGCAGAUUUGGGGAUUUGGGGGGCGGAUUUUGGAUGGAAAAAUGGCGAUUUUGGGGCAAAAAGUUCAAAUUUGAGGCAAAAAAAGUUUUGGUUUGAGGCCCAAUAAUGGCGAUUUUGGGGCAAAAGUUCCGAUUUUGGGGACUGUGAAGCGCCACGUUUUGUUUUUGGAAUUCUUUCGACGUAAUUUGAGUUAAUUUGGGUUAAUUACUGUCUCAUUUUGUUAAUAAAUACACCUAAUUAUUACAAAUGGCGCCGCGUCGUUUCCAUGGCAACAGCGUGU
rnacentral:lncRNA from 1 species